rnacentral:rRNA from 1 species
CCUACGGGUGGCAGCAGUAGGGAAUAUUGCACAAUGGGCGCAAGCCUGAUGCAGCCAUGCCGCGUGUGUGAAGAAGGCCUUCGGGUUGUAAAGCACUUUCAGCGGGGAGGAAGGCGGUGAGGUUAAUAACCUCAUCGAUUGACGUUACCCGCAGAAGAAGCACCGGCUAACUCCGUGCCAGCAGCCGCGGUAAUACGGAGGGUGCAAGCGUUAAUCGGAAUUACUGGGCGUAAAGCGCACGCAGGCGGUCUGUCAAGUCGGAUGUGAAAUCCCCGGGCUCAACCUGGGAACUGCAUUCGAAACUGGCAGGCUAGAGUCUUGUAGAGGGGGGUAGAAUUCCAGGUGUAGCGGUGAAAUGCGUAGAGAUCUGGAGGAAUACCGGUGGCGAAGGCGGCCCCCUGGACAAAGACUGACGCUCAGGUGCGAAAGCGUGGGGAGCAAACAGGAUUAGAUACCCCAGUAGUC